GAGACAGAAUGUCAGUUUUGAAAUAUAGGAGUUCGAGAUUAGAAACCUAAUACUUUUGUUAUGAAUUAUGCUAAAACGGUAAAAAAAUUUUCAAAAUAUAGUUGUCUCAAAUACACUCUUCUCAGAUAACAGAAGGCCAGGCAAGGGCACUGACUUGAAGGGAAACAAACCACAGUAAUAUGACUGCCUGAAAGUAACUAUGGAAUUCAGUUUCUCAAAGUGAUUACUUCUUCUAAUCUUCAUAUUGAUGACUCACUAGUACAUUUACUUUGAUGGGUUUAAUCAACUCUGAUAACAUAGUUCCAAACACUUAAAAGGACCUGAUUUAUGUAUUAAAUAAAGGUUAAUUUGUUCUUGAGAAAUUGACAAAAGAUUUGGUCAAACGUAAAUGAAUAUGCAAUAAGUCACAUAAGUCUGUGUGUAUAUACAUAUAUGACUUUAAUUUUAUAAGUGCAUGUGUAUACGCACACCUUUAGCUCAUUUAAAUAAAAAGCUAUCCAAUGUUUUAUGUCCAUUAUGUCCCCCGUUAACAUUGAGCAAAAUGUUAACCCCUACUAUAUAUGCAAGGGAAAUAAAUUAAGUUGUUAUAUAGAAACCCUUGACACUAUAUGCAAUUUCUUAUGUCCCAUAUUCUGAUAAUAUCUGUCCUCUUGGCUCUUACUUCUUGGAAUUUCUCAUAAACACGGAAGCUUCAUGACAAAUUGUGUAAAUCAUCAUUUCCUCCUUUAUGAAGUAUAUUGAAGACAAAAGGGAUUAAAGUCAUUUCACAUUUAGCAAAGCUAUUUUAUGGCAACAUUGUUACAACACAAAAUAGACAUUGCAGUUUACAAUUAACAAUUACACAGUGAUUUCAUAACAAUACUACUUACUCCAAUUAACAAAAUAUUUCUUUAUAAAAAAUAUGUUCAAAAGGAGGUUUACAUUCACUUCUUCGUUUAAUAUCAAGGUUGUUAACAAUGGUCUUAGGAGAUGCAAAGACGAAAAACUACUUACCUUAAAAAUCUGUAUUCUUGAAGAUAUAUACUCCACUUGAAUAAGAUACUGCUCAAGGUUUAGGCUUCCUGGAGAACUCAGAGGAUUUUGUAGUUGUACUUAAUAUACUCAAUAGCCAAAUUUCCUAAACUUUCAUAAUUUUGCUAACCAAGGGCCCUUAACAAAGUUAAAAGACACCACAGGGUUCAAAAGUGAACAAAUAUGUUGUUUUUGUUUUAAGACGGAGUCUCAUUCUUGUCACCUAGGCUGGAGUGCAGUGGCGCAAUCUCUGCUCACUGCAACCUCCAUCUCCCGGGUUUAAGUGAUUCUCACACCUCAGCCUUCCGAGUAGCUGGGAUUACAGGCGCGCGCCACCAAGCCCAGCUAAUUUUUACAUUUUUAGUAGAAAUGGGGUUUCACCAUGUUGGCCACGCUGGUCUCAAACUCCUGACCUCAAGAGAUCCGCCCGCCUCGGCCUCCCAAAGUGCUGGGAUUACAGGCAUGCGCCACUGUGCCUGGUCACAAAUAUGUUAAUGAGCCAAUUAAGAUGGUGCUGCUCAAAUGAUUCUAAUUCAGGAAACUUAGGUUGCAGCUAGGUAAUCUCUAGUUCUCUAAAGAAUAAUACCCAAAUGACAGGAUUUAUGUGUUGAUGCAAUAAUAGCUCAGUCUGUUUCAUGACCUAGCUAGAGUCAGAAUUGGAGCGGUGGCUAUAGCACAGGGGUGGCUUUCUCCUCUCUGAAGGAAAAGUAAAGAAGUAAGAAGAAAGAGGUUGAAAGAACAGCCUACACAGUUGUUGCCCAGAUCUCAAAAUUAGCAACAAGUAUGUCAGCUGUCCUAAUUAUUACCAAACAGGUCCUGGGAGUGUCUGACACACAACAUAAUAUAGGUGCAAUCAGUUCCAGAAUCUGGUUCCUGGAUCUGAACUAAUUUAGCUAUAAGACCUUCAGCAAGACCAUCUCUAUGGCCUGCAUCUCUCUCCUAUAGGUUUGACAAAGAUUCACCUAUGAGUUUGAUGAAGACAGUGUGCUAAAUAUUAGGAAAUUUCUGAGUUCCAGAAAAUUUGGAUUUUUAA
rnacentral:lncRNA from 1 species